UACGUAGGCGGAAAAUUAAGUCAGUAGUGAAAUCCUGCAGCUUAACUGUAGAACUGUUAUUGAUACUGGUUUUCUUGAAUAUAGUUGAGGUAGGCGGAAUGUGUAAUGUAGCGGUGAAAUGCUUAGAUAUUACACAGAACACCGAUUGCGAAGGCAGCUUACUAAGCUAUGAUUGACGCUGAGGUACGAAAGCGUGGGGAGCGAACAGGAUUGAUACCCUGGUAGUCC
rnacentral:rRNA from 1 species